CGCUGCCGCUGCCGGGCGGCACCAGCGAGGGAGCAAAAAACCCAUUUCAGGCACAAGGAGAAUGAGGGCACGGAGUCCCACCGGGCUCACGUGGGCACCGGCAUCGCCUUUCCGCAGGAGAGGCUGGAGCAUCCCCCGCCCGCCGAGCGCAGGGGCAGCUCCGCCGGGCAGCCCCGGCCGGCGCACCCAGGGGCGCGGCGAUGGCAGCACGGGCACCCCGCACGCCGGAGGAGGACGAGGACGAUGCCAAAACCGGAUGCAGAGAGCCUUGGCGCUUCCAUGCCCUGUCCAGAUCCUCCUAGCGUGGGAAAGGCGCGGGCAGGCGGCGUCGGCCGCGGGGAUU
rnacentral:lncRNA from 1 species